CAAAGCCUUUCCCCAACCUCCCCGGGGGAGUGAGUGCCUGCCAGUCAGCUCAUUUACAUUGUAAUAAGAGUCUGUCUGUCUUUUUAUCUUGAAAAAAAAAAAAUGAGUGUCUUUGACAGUAAUUCUUCCCUGAUGAGAUGUCUGAUAGGCUGCCUUUCCUAGACAAAAAGUUGCUGUAUCACAGUGUUUUACAGAUAAGAGGAAAACUGUCAAGAUCCAAAUAAAGGUGGUGCUCAGACAGUAAAGAAUUUGCCUGGAAUGUGAGGGAGAUCUGAGUUCAAUUCCUGGGUCAGGAAGAUCCCCUGGAGAAGGGAAUGGAAACCCACUCCAGUAUUCUUGCCUGGAGAAUUCCAUGGACAGAGGAGCCUAUCGGGCUACAGUCCAUGGAGUCGAAAAGAGUUGGAUGUGACUGAGCAACUAACAUUGGUUCUUAGCUCUGCCUCUCUAGUCCUGACAUUCCCCUGGAGAGUCCUGCAGAGCCGUAUCUCUGGAAAGGAGAAGCAGAGGUGGCUGCAGCCCUCGUGGAGGAUGAGAGAACACACCCACAGGAGCCAGAAUCACUGCAUUUCAUCUCACUUCAGAAGUCCUCAAAUGCAAGAAGAACCACCAGGGAGCAGGAGGAAGAAAAGGAGGAAGAAGACAAGAAUUCUGCCAUCACAUGGCUUCUUUAUUGUGAUCAGGAAUUUCCGGAUGCUUUGUUGUCAACUGCACGAAGUCAGAUAUACUCAAUAUUUUUAA
rnacentral:lncRNA from 1 species